GCUGUGAUGGUGGAGAGGUUAAAGCGUUGGACUCGAAAUCCAAUGGGGUCUCCCCAUGCAGGUUAGAUUCCUGCUCACAGCG